rnacentral:rRNA from 1 species
UGAGAGUAACUACCCAUAGUAUUGCGAAGAAGGCAUUCUUUUUUGCAAUUAAACCUACGGGCUAUAAGGUCGGUGUGCGUUAGAUUAGCUAGAUGGUGGGGUAACGGCUCACCAUGGCAACGAUCUAUAAGGGCGUGAGAGCGUGAUCCCUCACACGGGUACUGAGACACGGACCCGACUCCUACGGGAGGCAGCAGUAAGGAAUAUUGGUCAAUGCCCGGAAGGGUGAACCAGCCACGCCGCGUGGAGGAUGAAGGCGCUAUGCGUUGUAAACUUCUUUAGAAUGGGAAGAAAAUUAGAUAUUCAUAUUUAACUGACGGUACCAUUAGAAUAAGCACCGGCUAACUCCGUG